rnacentral:rRNA from 1 species
AUUGAACGCUGGCGGCAGGCCUAACACACGCAAGUCGGACGGUAGCACAGAGUGCUUGCUCUCGGGUGACGAGUGGCGGACGGGUGAGUAAUGUCUGGGGAUCUGCCCGAUAGAGGGGGAUAACCACUGGAAACGGUGGCUAAUACCGCAUAACGUCGCAAGACCAAAGAGGGGGACCUUCGGGCCUCUCACUAUCGGAUGAACCCAGAUGGGAUUAGCUAGUAGGCGGGGUAACGGCCCACCUAGGCGACGAUCCCUAGCUGGUCUGAGAGGAUGACCAGCCACACUGGAACUGAGACACGGUCCAGACUCCUACGGGAGGCAGCAGUGGGGAAUAUUGCACAAUGGGCGCAAGCCUGAUGCAGCCAUGCCGCGUGUAUGAAGAAGGCCUUCGGGUUGUAAAGUACUUUCAGCGGGGAGGAAGGCGAUGUGGUUAAUAACCGUAUCGAUUGACGUUACCCGCAGAAGAAGCACCGGCUAACUCCGUGCCAGCCGCCGCCGUAA